AGACUUCCCUCUAAAAUGCUCUCCCGCUCAGUGUGGAGCUCCGAGAGGCUAGCUGGAGUCUGUGUGCGACCUGGAAGGUUUGGAGCCAGCAUGAUUUAACUCAUUUGGUGGCAGCUGACCGGAGACUCUGGGGCCUAGCAGGAGAUGUUCAGGGGUGGACUUGCCGUGCCACGGAAUGAAAGCAAGCCUGGCCCCCUUCUCACUGAUUGAAAGACGGAGCCACUGACAGCCAUCUCCAGCAGCUUCCUUGCUGGCGGGCCUUCUCGGACCACCACCCUGAGGGCCUGUGAGCUCAUCCCUCAGGCUGCCCUGCUCUUUAGACAUUUUUGUACGUCCCACCCUCCUCCCCCUUGCUUGCAGCUUUUGCUGUUUGGGGCACACCCGUGAUAUGCAGUGCAGUUCGGCAUCACACUUCUCAUUCCCUGUGGGAGAUCAUGAAUGUUAUCCUCACCAAGUACUACCUGGGUUCCUCCAUUAACAGCAAUGAAAAUAAUUUGGGAGAACAUAAGCCCAUCGAAUGCUGUUGCUGUCCUAUGCAUUGCACCAAAUGAGGAGAAGCCCGGUGAGCUCCAUCGUUUGUCACACGGAAGCAUAACACAGUAGCGGGGUUGCCGGCAUCUGGAGUUGGUGGCAGUAGACGGUGUGGCAGCAACCAGGGCACUGAGACCUGGGACCAGGGCGCACAUUUCACGGGUCUCUGUGCAGGUGAUUUGGCUGGGUUUUCCUUUAGCUUGAGGGCUUCGGGAGGGAGCAGCUGCGUGCAUCUUCUCCACAGGGAACCCCGGGGACCUGUGCUUGGCACAGGUAACCUGCCUAAGGCUGACUGAGGAGGACCUAACUCCGGCCCUGUGACCUCCUGGGGUGGCAGCAGCUCGGAGGCGGCUCCUCCCUAAUUCACAGGGAAGUGCUGCAGGCCGAGGUUGCUUCCGGACUGCGGACUGCGCUUGAGAGGCUGGACGUGGAACAGUGUCCUCUCUGUCCUCCUGAGUGUUAGAAAUCCUUCGAGGCCCUAGUUUGAUUUAUCUGACAGCUGCACUCUGUCUUCACAUGGACUGUCAGGAGGCUUAGAAUUGGGUCGGAGCCACAAGUUUCCUGGCCUCUUUGAGUAUGGUUGUGACACCUUGCAAACUGAUGAAUUUGAGGACACAGCGCUGCCUCGACUGAGUCCGCCUACUUUGGGGGUUUUAGAAGUUCAGAUUCAUUCCACAAAUUUGACUGAAGAUGCUGCUGUGUGCCAGGCACAUGGCCAGGGUGACAGGCGGGGCUCCCAUGCUGAUUAGGGAGCAGGCACAGGCAUCUCUAGGUGAACAACUAAGCAAGGUGACUGCAGCUGGGACAAGUGCCAGACAAGAAGGAAGCACGAUGCUGGCCUGGAGUUGGGGUGUGUUGGGGGAGGGGGUUCUUCAGGCAGAGAGAGCAGGGAAGUCAGCGAACAGAGUUAAUUCACACGGUGCAAAUUAAGCCUUCAUCUUGGUGCCUGACACACAGUAAAGCCCUAACUCGCUAUCACUGCUACGGCUGUUAUUGGUGUCGUCAUCUCUCCGUUAUGUGUGCUUCUGCUGGGCGGAAGGCAAGGGGGGAAUACAUUGCCGGAAUUCCAGGAAACGAUGAAGACUUUGCAAAGGUCCCAGCAGUGGAGGGGUGGAGAACUCCAUGCCCUAAGGUGUCUCCUCUCUUCCUUCUCUGGCGGUACCGAGGGGCUUGGUGGUCCAUCGUACGUGGGCACUCUCUGUCCAAACCAGCAUCUCCAAGCCUUAAUUUGCUGCAACGGCCCAAGAUUUAAACGUCUACAUUUUCCUGGUUGGUAUUGUAGUGCAAAUAUCGAUUCCUUUCUGUGCAAGUCCUGACUUCACGUGGGGGCAGUGACUAGUGAACGGCCCGUCCUCGCGGAGUAAAUAUGCCGUGUACAGCAGUCGUUGAACGAUUACCGUGCAGCCCAGCUGUCUUAACGCUAAGAGUGCCCGCUUUGCUUCUGGGAUGGUCACGUGUGUGAGUGGAGUGGCUUCAGAAACAGGGGCUU
rnacentral:lncRNA from 1 species